rnacentral:rRNA from 1 species
UUCCGGUUGAUCCUGCCGGACCUGACUGCUAUCGGAUUGAUACUAAGCCAUGCGAGUCUUUGCAGUAAUGCAAGGCAUACGGCUCAGUAACACGUAGUCAACCUACCCUAUGGACGAGAAUAAUCUCGGGAAACUGAGCAUAAUUCUUGAUAGAUCAUAAUGCCUGGAAUGGUUUAUGGUUAAAAUGAUUCGUCGCCAUAGGAUGGGACUGCGGCCUAUCAGCUUGUUGGUGAGGUAAUGGCCCACCAAGGCGAUUACAGGUACGGGCUCUGAGAGGAGAAGCCCGAAGAUGGGUACUGAGACACGGACCCAGGCCCUAUGGGGCGCAGCAGGCGAGAAAACUUUGCAAUGUGCGAAAGCACGACAAGGUUAAUCCGAGUGAUUUCUGCUAAAGAAAUCUUUUGCCAGUCGUAAAACCGCUGGUGAAUAAGGGGUGGGCAAGUUCUGGUGUCAGCCGCCGCGGUAAAACCAGCACCUCAAGUGGUCAGGAUGAUUAUUGGGCCUAAAGCAUCCGUAGCCGGCUUUGUAAGUUUUCGGUUAAAUCCAUGUGCUCAACGCAUGGGCUGCCGAAAAUACUGCAUAGCUAGGGAGUGGGAGAGGUAGACGGUACUCAGUAGGUAGGGGU